UACGGAGGGGGCCAGCGUUGCUCGGAAUCACUGGGCGUAAAGGGCUCGUAGGCGGUCUGAUAAGUCCUGUGUGAAAUCCCUUGGCUUAACCAAGGAACUGCGCCGGAUACUGUCGGACUGGAGGCCGGGAGAGGGAAGCGGAAUUCCGAGUGUAGCGGUGAAAUGCGUAGAUAUUCGGAGGAACACCGGUGGCGAAGGCGGCUUCCUGGACCGGUUCUGACGCUGAGGAGCGAAAGCUAGGGUAGCAAACAGG
rnacentral:rRNA from 1 species